rnacentral:tRNA from 1 species
GCCUGGCUGGCUCAGUCGGUGGAGCAUCUGACUCUUGAUCCCAGGAUUGUGAGUCCAAGCCCCACGUUGGGCA